GACGAACGCUGGCGGCGUGCUUAACACAUGCAAGUCGAACGGAAAGGCCCUGCUUUUGUGGGGUGCUCGAGUGGCGAACGGGUGAGUAACACGUGAGUAACCUGCCCUUGACUUUGGGAUAACUUCAGGAAACUGGGGCUAAUAUCGGAUAGGAGCUCCUGCUGCAUGGUGGGGGUUGGAAAGUUUCGGCGGUUGGGGAUGGACUCGCGGCUUAUCAGCUUGUUGGUGGGGUAGUGGCUUACCAAGGCUUUGACGGGUAGCCGGCCUGAGAGGGUGACCGGCCACAUGGGGACUGAGAUACGGCCCAGACUGCUACGGGAGGCAGCAGUGGGGAAUAUUGCACAAUGGGCGGAAGCCUGAUGCAGCAACGCCGCGUGCGGGAUGACGGCCUUCGGGUUGUAAACCGCUUUCGCCUGUGACGAAGCGUGAGUGACGGUAAUGGGUAAAGAAGCACCGGCUAACUACGUG
rnacentral:rRNA from 1 species